UACGAAGGGGGCUAGCGUUGCUCGGAAUCACUGGGCGUAAAGCGCACGUAGGCGGAUUUCUAAGUCAGGGGUGAAAUCCUGGAGCUCAACUCCAGAACUGCCUUUGAUACUGGGAAUCUCGAGUCCGGGAGAGGUGAGUGGAACUGCGAGUGUAGAGGUGAAAUUCGUAGGAUAUCGCAAGAACACCAGUGGCGAAGGCGGCUCACUGGCCCGGUACUGACGCUGAGGUGCGAAAGCGUGGGGAGCAAACAGG
rnacentral:rRNA from 1 species